UACGUAGGUGACAAGCGUUGUCCGGAUUUACUGGGCGUAAAGAGCGCGCAGGCGGUCGAUCAAGUCGAGUGUGAAAGCCCCCGGCUCAACUGGGGAGGGUCAUUCGAUACUGAUCGACUCGAAGGCAGGAGAGGGUAGUGGAAUUCCCGGUGUAGUGGUGGAAAUGCGUAGAUAUCGGGAGGAACACCAGUGGCGAAGGCGGCUACCUGGGUCGAUACUGACGCUGAUGCGCGGAAAGCGUGGGGAGCAAACAGG
rnacentral:rRNA from 1 species